rnacentral:rRNA from 1 species
AUUGAACGCUGGCGGCAUGCCCAACACAUGCAAGUCGAACGCAUCCUUCGGGGUGAGUGGCAGACGGGUGAGUAACGCGUGGGAACGUGCCCUUCAGUUCGGAAUAACCCAGGGAAACUUGGGCUAAUACCGGAUACGUGCGAGAGCAGAAAGAUUUAUCGCUGAAGGAUCGGCCCGCGUCUGAUUAGCUAGUUGGUGGGGUAAUGGCCCACCAAGGCGACGAUCAGUAGCUGGUCUGAGAGGAUGAUCAGCCACAUUAGGACUGAAACACGGCCCAAACUCCUACGGGAGGCAGCAGUGGGGAAUAUUGGACAAUGGGCGCAAGCUUGAUCCAGCCAUGCCGCGUGAGUGAUGACGGCCUUAGGGUUGUAAAGCUCUUUCGUCCGGGACGAUAAUGACGGUACCGGAAGAAGAAGCCCCGGCUAACUUCGUGCCAGCAGCCGCCGUAA